CGCCUGAGGAUGAGUCUGCGGCCUAUCAGGUAGUAUGUGGUGUAAUGGACCACAUAGCCUAAGACGGGUACGGGCCUUGAAAGAGGGGGAGCCCGGAGAUGGACUCUGAGACACUAGUCCAGGCCCUACGGGGCGCAGCAGGCGCGAAACCUGUGCAAUGCGCGUAAGCGCGACACGGGGAGCCUGAGUGCCUUGACUAAGUCAAGGCUUUUCUUCAAGCCUAAAAAGCUUGAGGAAUAAGAGCUGGGCAAGACGGGUGCCAGCCGCCGCGGUAACACCCGCAGCUCGAGUGGUAGUCACUUUUAUUGAGCCUAAAGCGUUCGUAGCCGGUUUUGUAAAUCCUCAGCAAAUUCUCCUGCUUAACGGGAGAUACUCUGGAGAGACUGCGAAACUAGGGACCGGGUGAGGUUGAAGGUACUUCUGGGGUAGGGGUAAAAUCCUGUAAUCCUGGAAGGACGACCAGUGGCGAAGGCGUUCAACUAGAACGGAUCCGACGGUGAGGAACGAGGGCUAGGGGAGCAAACCGGAUUAGAUACCCGGGUAGUCCUAGCUGUAAACACUGCCCACUUGGUGUUGCUUCUUCUAUAGGGGGGAGCAGUGCCGGAGCGAAGGUGUUAAGUGGGCCGCUUGGGGAGUAUGGUCGCAAGGCUGAAACUUAAAGGAAUUGGCGGGGGAGCACCGCAACGGGAGGAGCGUGCGGUUU
rnacentral:rRNA from 1 species